rnacentral:rRNA from 1 species
GAUGAACGCUGGCGGCGUGCCUAAUACAUGCAAGUCGAGCGAACAGACGAGGAGCUUGCUCCUCUGACGUUAGCGGCGGACGGGUGAGUAACACGUGGAUAACCUACCUAUAAGACUGGGAUAACUUCGGGAAACCGGAGCUAAUACCGGAUAAUAUAUUGAACCGCAUGGUUCAAUAGUGAAAGACGGUUUUGCUGUCACUUAUAGAUGGAUCCGCGCCGCAUUAGCUAGUUGGUAAGGUAACGGCUUACCAAGGCAACGAUGCGUAGCCGACCUCAGAGGGUGAUCGGCCACACUGGAACUGAGACACGGUCCAGACUCCUACGGGAGGCAGCAGUAGGGAAUCUUCCGCAAUGGGCGAAAGCUUGACGGAGCAACGACGCGUGAGUGAUGAAGGUCUGCGGAUCGUAAAACUCUGUUAUUAGGGAAGAACAAAUGUGUAAGUAACUAUGUACGUAUUGACGGUACCUAAUCAGAAAGCCACGGCUAACUACGUG